UGUGAAUGUUUUACUAGAAAGCUCAAAAAGGUAUUUCAAAAUACUUGAUACAAUAAUUGGCAAAACCUGGCACAUCCUGAGAAGAAAGUGAAUAUUUUACUGGAGACCAAGAGCAGGGUCAUAUUCUUACACAAUACGAGUUCCACAGCUUCACAUUCGCAGAACCUCUGCACUCUCAACAGGGAGGGGUUGCUGGGUGGCCAAGUUUUUUGGGGGGGUCUGCAGGGCCACACCUCCUGAAAUCAUUCACACUACAAUUAACUCCCUAUCUGUUCUUACAGAACCUCCUUCGUGUGUCAAAAGAAAAAGGAAGCAUUCACUUCAGUCCUGUUUCUUCGAUGUUUGACCUAUAAAUUGUCUCACUUCUACAGUCUUUCUCCAGCACCUCCUCUUCUAAGGUGGAAGGUGUUACGACUGCUGAGGGGCUGUGGGUGUCUCUCUCUCUCCUGCCCUGGAUUGUCUGGUAGACAUCAGAAUCCACAAGAGGAUACCUCUGCCUGGGGACAUCACAACUGUGACAAAUGGGAGGGAACAGCGAAUAAUAAUGCAAUUAUGAUACUCGUUAUACACUAUAUACAGAGGAGUUACCUUUAGGUAAUAAAAAUGCAUACAGUAAUUGGAUGCGUCACCUCUCCCUGCGUGGGACACUUUAAAGAGUAUCCACAUGGGGGCAGCAAAUUACUUUAAUCACAAUCUGUUGGCUACGAUCAUCGAUUUACUGUCCUGAAUCAGUCACCUCUUUGUUGUUGGGGAUAUGAUCAGUCUUCCUGUCCACAGGAAUCAUGGAAAAUAUGUUGGGCACGGAAAUCAAGUAAAAGAACCAACCUGGUUAUGACAGACUAACUCCUGAAGAAAAGGCACCCUUCUGGUCAGUCCAAAGACUGUUUCAGGUCUGUCAUGAAGGGACCGAGAGAAACAAAGUGAACAGAACCCAGUCAUAUGUUUGCAAUAUGCUAAUGAAGUGAAUAUAUAACUCUUUCUCAGCAUACCUGUCUAUGAGGAAUGUGAGCUGAGGUCUGGAUUUCUGGCUGUUUUUCUAAGCCGGCACAUGCAGCAUCCCUGCAGGACUCUCCAUUUGUCUCCACUAUGAUUUCACCCACUCACAAGUUAGCCAGCUCAGCUUCACUUAACCCAUUCACCUGUAGAUAUAGAGACGGUGUGAGAAAAUGCACUGAAAUUUGACUAAAUUAAGAAUGUUGUAUCUGUUCAUUUGUGUAGUGUGUGUGUGUGUGUGUGUGUGUGUGUGGCAGGACAGUCUGUGUUUGCAGCUACCUUGGUGACAGUCAGGGGCGGAGGCACCAUGGAGGUCCAGUCAGGGUUACCAUCAUGUCAUCAGGGUAAGAGGUCGAGGAAACAGAGCAAGCUGAGUAAAUCUGACAAUGCCCAGACAGGAAAGCUUGGAGACAGCGAAAGACGAUUAGAGAACCACGACCUGUAUCCAGAUCCAAGCCCUGAGACUGCCCACAAGGGCUGCUUCACCCGGCCCUUGUGAGUCUCGAACAAACUUUCUGUCGGCCAAAGUAUUGUAAGUGGAUAAAAUGAAUAAACCCAGCAAAAAUGGAAAAGUCCACUCACUGUCAACUGCCUUUAUUUUCAGCAAACUUAACGUGUAAAUAUUUGUAUGACCAUAACAAGAUUCAACAACUGAGACAUAAACUGAACAAGUUCCACAGACAUGUUCUUACAGACAGAAAUGGAAUAAUGUGUCACUGAACAAAGGGGUGGUCAAAAUAAAAAGUAACAGUCAGUAUCUGGUGUGGCCACCAGCUGCAUUAAGUACUGCAGUGCAUCUCCUCCUCAUGGACUGCACCAGAUGUGCCAGUUCUUGCUGUGAGAUGUUACCCUACUUUUCCACCAAAGCACCUGCAAGUUCCUGGACACUUCUGGGUGGAAUGGCCCUAGCCCUCACCCUCCAUCCAACAGGUCCCAGGCGUACUCAAUGGGAUUGAGAUCCGUGUUUUUCACUGGCCAUGGCAGAACACUGGCAAUCUCAACGCUGUGUGUUACAGGGAAGACAUCCUCCUCCCUCAUGUGGUACCCUUCCCGCAGGCUCAUCCUGACAUGACCUACUGCAUAUUGCAACCGAAGUUGCACAAGAUCUCUGCUGUAGCCUGGUAUAGAAACUGAGUUUGUAGUACCAGAAAUAUUGAUAUGCUUUCAUUUUGAGAAUAAACAAUGUUUUUCUUCAGUUGGCUACAUAGUUGUCUGACUGUAAUUUCCCUAGGCCUAUUUAUUUAAAGUUAUCAAAUAAAAGAGAAACGGUCUUCA